rnacentral:ribozyme from 13 species
CAAAUCUUCGCAUAUAAAACAGAAUGAGAGAAUGAAUGAAUGAAUGAAUGAAUGAAGGAUGAUGAUAGCUGAAAACACAACUUAUUAUAUUAGCUCAUGAGCUGCAUUUUUUUAUUUUUUUUUUUUCAUUUUUUUUUUUUUUUUU